GAAGGACUCAUUUGUCAUGUAAACAUCUCAGUUUCGCAUACAUGGAAAAAAAAAAUUGGCAAGUUUUACAGUUGGUUUUCCAAUAUGAGCCAGGGUAAGGUCACAAACUGACACUGAUUUGUUACCAGGAUCUCAGGACACAAAAUAAAUACUGUCUCACUGGCAUGAGGUAUUUUGAAUACUUUGAUUUCAUGCAAAAUGCCUCCUUCUUUCAUUAUUUGUAAAAAUAAUUAUUUCUUUCAACUUCAAUACUUGUUGAUCUCAGCUGAAGUAACCCGAGACACGAUCAGUUAUGAUCUUCAACUGGCAGCACUCCGUUAACAUUUCUCUGACAUCUCUUACAAAAUAUUUUUGGAAGCAUAAACUGUGGCAUUUUCCCCCCUCCAUCUCCUACAAACAUCUAUCUCAAAGGAUGUGAGCAGAAGCAAACAGUAAUCAAGAAAUUAUACAAUGAUUUCAGAGGUCAUGUAAAAUAUUUUCCCUAACCAUAGCUGGCCCUGGUCUCCUGACUACAUCUCCUCUUAUUUAAAAGCUUGCCAUGCUGUUUGGAAUGCUAGAGUUGGGACUUAUUUUUUCCCAAUUUCUAAUGGAGAUGAAGAAUACUUAAGAAAUCUGGUAAUGUAUACUUUACUUUACCUGACAGUAUGUUAUUCUUAAAGAAAAAAAAAAAAGAAGAAAAGAGGCUGGAGACACUCAAGUGUCUUCAGUUGAGUUCCCUCAGGAGGUUCACUGACCCUCUCAAUGACCAGCAGACCAACAUCUCCAGCUAGCUCAGAAGAAACACAUUCCCUCUCAGCUUCAGAUGAGGGAGCCUGGUCAAAGACCGUGAUGUCUGCACACCAGGAUACAAGAUGAAAGCUUUCUGUGGUGCUAUUUAUUGUAGCAACAGGCCCUGGCAACAGUUAGAUGCCAUGGUGAUCAUGAAUAACCAAACUCCCAACGACAAGAGGAGAGCAUUUCUACUGCUUGGACUUGCAGAAGGAAGAAGCAGAUGGUCCCAUUUCACCAUGGGCUGCAAUACUUCUAACAGGGUCGCUGCAGCACAGCUGUCUCCUGAGGAGCUAGAGAACAACCACGAAGCCAGAAGCCAGACUACAAGUGAUGGCGCUGACAGAACGUGGGCUGCCACCUCACAGGAGGGGGCAGCUUGGACAGAGGGCACUUCAGAGAAUGGAAGCAAACCAGAAGCUGAAGCCAGUGAGGGAGGCUUUCCUGAGAAAUUAACAGAGAGAUUUACACCUUCUGAAAAAAGAAGCAACACACAAAGCACAGAUGCACUGCUCACCAGUGGGUUCAUCAGCAAAUCAUGGCCCUUACAAGAAACUGAGAGACAAAAAUCAUCAGACAUUAUUGAGGAGCUGAGGAGGCAGGGAAUAAUCAGGAGCUGAAGUACUGCUGCCAGGACUGGAGCAGCAUGUGAAAACAAGGUUAGGGAAGAGGAACUAAGCAGGAGACCACAACACACUGCAUUUUAUCCAGCAAUAGCCUACCAAACUACAGGUAAACUGACUGAGAAGGACUGACCAAGUUCUGGAAGUCAAGAAAGCACAGACACCCCUCAGCCAUCACCUUUCCAUGGUGAGAUAAGUGUACUGCUGCAGGAAAUAACUGCAGAAUAAACUACAAAUUAUUAUACUGAGGGCUCUACCA
rnacentral:lncRNA from 1 species